UAAAGGUGUGAGCUUGUUUGAUUUUUUGUAUCUCGCCAUUGAAUUGGUCUUGAAGCUUUCCGAAAACAGAUAUGUCUUUGUCUCGGAAGAAGCAAGGAAGGUCACGGUACCGGAGGAAGCUAUCCAUCCCAGGUUUUAUCACCAGAACGUGGGUGGUCAUCGGGAAGCCCAUCAGGUACCGUCUUAAAGGUAAACCCAGGAUAACGGCCAAAACGAGCUUCGAUGUCAGUGUGCUUGGCAAGUCGUUUUUGGUUGUAGGUUGUGUUUAGGAAGGUUACCUUAAGAUUUGCUAGGCAUAAAAUUUCUGCUAAGUUUAGCAUUGGGGUUAAAUGGCCUUGCAAUGGGACUGGAAAGAUUAAAACAUGAGGUGUAGGAUAUGAUUUGUGUUCCAUUUUUGGUACUACUUACAAUAUUUUUGGUCUUGGAAUUUAGAUUGGUAUAUUUGCCAAGUUGGGUGUAUAAUAUAUUUGCCAAGUUGGGUGUAUAAUAUAUUUGCCAAGUUGGGUGUAUAAUAUAUAGUUGUAGUAUUAGUAUAUGUUGGAUAGAAGUAGAAGAGUAUUGUUUCCUCGAGAGAAACGUGGAUCUUAAUUUCUGAAUCAUGCAAUUUUGUUACUUUUGUCUAUGUAUACGAUGGUACGAUAUUGAAUCUGAGUGAAUUCGAAUGUUGACAUGGAAAAGUUUGUACAUUUUAAUUCUAACAAAUUGUAAAACAUGUAAAAUACGAAGUAUUAUUUAAAAGUUAGUUUACGAAAAAAACAAAAGGAAUUAUUGGUCUCCUUGGCUCGUGCCUCAUGGGCUCGUGGCCCUCGUAGGCCUCGUUGGGCAAUUAUUUUUGUAAAGUAUAAUACUUUAGUCAGUGUUAUGUCUGGAUUGAUACUCUAAAUAUUAUUGUGAUAAGAAUGAUUACUAGCUUU